GACGAACGCUGGCGGCGUGCUUAACACAUGCAAGUCGAACGGUGAACCUCUUCGGAGGGGAUCAGUGGCGAACGGGUGAGUAACACGUGGGCAACCUGCCCCCGGCUCUGGGAUAACUCCAAGAAAUUGGGGCUAAUACCGUAUGUUCACCGCUUCCCGCAUGGGUGGUGGUGGAAAGGUUUUCCGGCUGGUGAUUGGCCCGCUGCCUCUCAGCUUGUUGGUGUGGUAGUGGCCUACCAAGGCGACGCCGGGUAGCCGGCCUGAGAGGGUGACCGGCCACAAUGGGACUGAGACACGGCGCAGAAUCCAACGGGAGGCAGCAGUGGGGAAUAUUGCGGAAUGGGCGGAAGCCUGACGAAGAGAAGCCGCGUGGGGGAUGACGGCCUUCGGGUUGUAAACCUCUUUCAGCAGGGACGAAGCGAAAGUGACGGUACCUGCAGAAGAAGCACCGGCCAACUACGUG
rnacentral:rRNA from 1 species